UACAGAGGUCCCAAGCGUUGUUCGGAUUUAUUGGGCGUAAAGGGUGCGUAGGCGGCGGAGUAAGUUGGGUGUGAAAUCCCGGGGCUCAACCUCGGAAUUGCAUUCAAUACUGCUUCGCUCGAGUACUGGAGAGGAGACUGGAAUUUACGGUGUAGCAGUGAAAUGCGUAGAUAUCGGGAGGAACACCAGUGGCGAAGGCGGCGAUCUGGGAAGAUACUGACGCUGAGGUGCGAAAGCGUGGGGAGCAAACAGG
rnacentral:rRNA from 1 species